CUGCACCGAGAUGACCGGCUGACAUGUCUGGAGUAAAGGCAGCCGCUCCGCCCUCAAGCUCCCGGCUCCAUAGCGCCCGCCGCGAGUGAGGGGAGAGAGAAAUCGAGCGCUCCGCUCAGGUCUCCCUGGACACUUCCGGCCGUGUUAAAAAACUCACGCCCGAAAACCCGACAUUCAUCCCACACAACACGCACGCGCCUUGACAACAUUCCCUGCCGUGCGAAAGUUCUUUCUACCCUCGACGCUCGUUCUCAGCCGGAAGUACGUAUGAGCGUGACAUUUCCCUCAGAAGGCGGGGGGAGGAGGAGGAUUUUGAAAGUUUUGCGCUCUACGCAUACGCCGUUCUCUUUGCUCGGCCCUCUUCCUUAUCCCCUGGGUAUCGCAUUUAAAGGAGCCGGAUUUGUUUUGAAUCUUGAUGCCUACAGCUACCGCUCCUCACUUGCCCCGCAAAAAGUCGCUGACAUUAAAUUCCCAACCAUGAAAUCGUGACACCACAAGCAGGCUCCAGUGCUGACUACGGAUAACGGGGAUCUGCUGCCCAACACAUCUGGAGAGGGCAAGGUUGGGGAAAACGGACUACAUUAUAACGAAUGCAAGACAGACCAACGGCCUAACUUCGCUGUCACUCUUGUCACGGUUUAGUGCAGUGCUUCUCAACCUCAGCAACUCUUAAGAUAUGUGGACUUCAACUCCCAGAAUUCUCCAGCCAGCCAUGGGAAAUGCCUCCUGCACAGAGAGGAUUUUCACUGGAGGAAGAAAAUAAAGUGAUUGCCCAAGCUUACUCCAUCAUGUCAAUAAGAGGCUACUUUAUCUGCUUUACUAGUGCAGGAAGGAACAUGGGCUUGUUUCCCUACUCAUGAGGAACUGGAAGGUGCCACCUCAAGCAGUUGGUUUAAGGAUUACUUAAUCCUAAUCCUCCAGGAUUACUACAACUAUCUGCUGCAAGGUCAAAAAAUGUAAAGAUGAUGGACCUGGAAGAGCUGAUUUAUGUGAUCAAGAACAAAGUGAACAACUUGUGACAGUAACGGACAAG